GUCUGGGAAAUGUGGGACUGCUGUCCACGUCCCCCUGCUCCCUGCCCACCUUCUGGCCCCGCUUGAUGGGCUGAGGGGCUGGAGCUGCCUUGUGGCAGUUGGGAGCAGCCAGGGGCUGUGUCUCUGUCUCUGUCUCCUUCUGCUUCUCUUCAGACAGCUCCAAGUUCUCAGAGUUGUUCUGCUGCUUCUUUUUCUUCAUUUCUCUAAGGAGAACAAUGACAACAUCCUCAUUGUUGUGAUGAGAGAGGCUGCUGCUCUCCUGAUGGCAUUCCCACCCUGCUUCCCUGUCACAGGGAUCCAGAGAAAUUCUGGAAGCAGCUCCUCCUCAGAAAAACCUCUCCAGCCCAUGAGUAAAACUGUUCCCAGCCAGCAUUCCCAAAGGACAGGAGCAGCACCUCACCCUGGAAAUGCAGGAUGGGCAAUGGGCAUGGAUUGGAGUGGGUACAGAUGUGCCAGGACAUGGGGAGGGAAUGGGGAAGAAGCAUUUGUCCAGAGCAGCUGUGGCUGCCCCUGGAUCCCUGGCAGUGCCCAAGGCCAGGCUGGACAGGGCUUGGAGCACUCUGGGAUGGUGGAAGAUGUCCCAGCCAUGGCAGGGCUGGAUUGGGAUGGGAUUUAAGGUCCCUUCCAACCCAAAGAAUCCUGGGGCUCUGGGAUUCCCUGGAACACCCACUGGCCUCACCUCCUCUCCUUGGCAGAGAGAUGCCUCCGGCCCUGGGCCCUGCUGUCACCCUGAGGAGGGAAAGGCAGUUUAGGGCAGAUCCUGCCCAGCAGCUCCACUGCUCUGGGCCACCCACUGGAGCUGGGACCUUACCAAGCUGGGCUCUUCCUCUUUGGGGAUGAUUUUCUGCAGGGAUCUGUGGGGAGGUGGAAAAGGAGCUCAUCAGCAGAUGUAGGGCAGCUCACCAUGGACACACCAACCACAGCCCAAACUUCAGCAGCUUGGUUCUAACUUUCAGCUUUCUAGAGCUUGGCAAUCCCAGCUUUGGUGACUGGAAAAGGCAGGAACACUGGGAUUCACUUUAGAAAACAAUCUUUGCUCUCUGCCAGCUCCUCUCUCACACACACGAGUAACAAACACAGCCUGGGCAUCAAGGGAGCCCCAGUGUGCAGCUUCCCAUGAGCACCCACCCAAUCCCUGCUCCCUGCACCCUCUAAGGAGCCCCAGGGACAACAGGGAGCUGAGCUCAUCCCAGGGUCUCAGCAGAGCAGAGGCUGCUCAGGGCUCAGUUCUCAGCAUUCCCAUUGCUGAGCAUGGAAGGAAGGGAUGGCAAUGCAUCCCAGCCUCGUCCUGCCAGUGUUUCAGGAGACCCUCAGGUGCCCCAGCUGCUGCUCCUCUCACCUCUGGGGCUGAAGGUGUGACAGGUCAAUUGUGGUGUCUGGAUAAUUCACCUCUUCCUCCUUCACUUCCCUCUGGGGCUCUGUGUGUUCCUCCUCAGAGUCUCCAUCGUCCUCCUCGGAUUCAGCCUCUGGAGCAGGAGUGUUCCCUCCUCCCUGCUCAGCAAUGCCUUCACCAUGGCUGCUCUCAGCUGUGGCUUCCUCAGCCUCUGGAGCUUCCUCAGCCUCUGGAGCUUCCUCAGCCUCGGCUUUUUCCUCCUCACUGCUGCUGUCUCCUCCAUCUGGGGCAUCCAGGGCAGGAAAACACAAGAAUACCAAACUGAUCCAUCAUCCCAGGAUGGUUUGGGUUGGAAGGGACAUUAAAUCCCAUCCAGUGCCACCCCUGCCAUGGCAGGGACACCUUCCACUGUCCCAGGCUGCUCCAGGCCCUGUCCAGCCUGGUCUUGGGCACUGCCAGGGAUCACAGCUGCUCUGGGAGUCUCCCCACCCUCCCAACCAGGAAUUCCACCCCAAUAUCCCAUCCAUCCCUGUACCCCGGCAGUGUGAAACCAUUUCCUUUGUCCCAUCAGUGAUGCACACUCUGGGAUCACCCAGAGCCUGAAGGAUCCCCCAGCAGCAGCCACAGCACCCCCUCUGUACCUAAAAGCUCCACCUCCUCAGCCACCAGCUCACUGGCACUGCUGGAAACCGUGUCCAGAUCCUCAUCCUGGACUUUGACCUUCCUCUCCUCCCGGUGCCUCCAGACACAGCUCUCAUCCACCUAAAAACGAGGAGCCUCUGGGUCAGGCCUGGCGAUGCUCACACAACACCUCACUCAGCUUUUGCCUCCCUUUCUAACACUUUCUGCCAUCAAAAUUAAACCAGACCCAAGUGUGCCAACCUCACAAGUCAGGGUGACACAGAGAGAUGUUCAGAUUCCAAACAGAGCUGGGGUAACAACCCUGGCAGAGGCAGGAAGGUCCAGAGUCUGUUUGGGAUGCAGACAGUGCACACUGGGCUGAGAUGGAAAUUAAAGCAGAGUCAUUAUCAGCAAGAAGCUUUUUAUGGGAUUUUUACCAGUGGGAAAAGAAGUAAUUGGGAAUACACUGAUAAGCAAGAUGCAGAAAAUAAACCUCCUGCAGCUCAAAGCAAAUUACAAAAGCCAGCAGGAGCUGCAUGGGAAAAGCUGUACCUUAAACAAGAAGCUGAAGCCCAUCAUCAGAUAGGAAGGUGGAAGGAAAUUCUUUUUCCCUGAAAAACAAAGGGAGAGUCUCAUGAGGAGGUUUAGCAGCCAUGCUGCAGGAUGUACUUCCAAAAUUCAUUUUUAUUAGAGGCUUUAGGCUACCAAAAAAUUACACUGGGGCUCAUUUUAUCUCUGGGAUGAGAACAGAAGAACUCAAAAAGCAGCUGAGUUAAUGAACUUCUGCCCAGGGCUCAGCUCAAACUGCUGCUGCAGCUGCCUGAUACUCAGACCAAGCCAUUCCCAACAGACUUCUGGGAGAAGAGUGGGAUCUGCUGCCACUGCAGGACAGCCCAGAACCUUUGGGAAAACAUCCCAUUCCCACUGUUCCCUUGUGCCUCACCUCGGAUCAUGAAGCUACCAGUAGUGAGAUAUUCUCCCGUGGGGGCAGUUUUAGAAACCUAAAAGAAAACCACGAUAAACUGUAAAAAAAUCUCUGUGACAGAAGGCCAACAUCAGGUGACAACAGCACCAAGAGAAACACUGUCUCAGCAGGAGCUGAACUCCUGGGAGCAGCUCUGCAGGACUCCAUCCAAGGGGCUCUUCCUCUCCUUUGUAGGAAAUUUUCCUAAGUGAUGUUUCAAUCCAGUCACAGCCUACCAGCACUGUGUUUUAGGAGUCCUGGGUGAGUAACUCAGGAAAUAAACCCAGGACAGACUCAGGAGCAUUCAGGGAAUAAUGAUGCCUUGUGCAGGCUAAGCCCUAGAGCAGAGGCUGGAUGGAGUUACAGAAUAAAGCAGGGAUUUAUUAAAGGAUCUCCUCCAUGGAUCCACCUUGGGCAGCACCAGAGCCCAGCCAGGGCUGCACCCAAAUGAACCAAAAUGGCCCCAAAAUGCACGAGCGCUCCCGGGGGCUCUCCCUGGGAUCAGUUCUGCUCCAUUGGCACCUUGGAGUUCAUUGUCCCAUUCCAGCUUUAGCCCAGGCAGUCCCACCCUGCUUGUUUUUCUCUCUCCAGCCCACGGUGUUUGUGCUCCUGGGCUGAGAUUUGGAUCAUUUGUCCUUGGUGCCCAGCUGGAGCAGGAAUUGUUUUGUGUCCCUGCUCUGUGCACAGAGCUCAGCAUCCCCUGGUAUGGAGCCCAGACCCACACACUAAAGCAGCACAGAGUGUGAAAAAUAUAAAAGACAAAACCUGACACAACAAAACCAGCCCGCCUUUGGUGUGAGCCCCACAGCCUUGCUUCGAUGCACACCCUGGGCCCUGUCUGGGCUCACACCCAGCUCCCAGGGGUGCUGUGCUGUGCCUGACGUGCUCACCUGGCUGUGGGACACCCACCAGGCGCUGGUGACCACGCGCGCGUCCCAGGCAGCGCUGUAGCACAGGGCCAUGGUCCCCGCCUCCGUCAGCGUCCGCGGCGGGAUGGGCUCACCUGCAACACCCAGCACAGCAGCAGCCAUCAAACCUGCCCACACCAGCCUGGCAGCUGCCCAGGAAGGGCUGAUUGCCAUCCCAAGGGAAGGCACAGCCAGCUCCUGUCCCCAGGGCCCCACAGGUACCUGAGGGGUUCUUGAUCACGCAGCUGGUGGCUCCGUGCAGAUCUGCGUGCACGUAGAUGUCCCCUAGGAAAGAGGAGACUUCUCUCAGAUCCACACAUCCCUGGAGCCAGGGAAGUCUCUGAUGUUAGAUGGAAAUGCCUGGUCUGGCUGCAAGGGGCAGGGUGGGGACACAGAAGCCUUUUGGUCCAUCCUUGUCCCAGGGGGAAUCAGCUCCUCUGCUCCUGGGGGGAGCCCAGCCAAGCUGCUCUCGCCCCGUAGCACCAGAGUGUGGCAGCACAUUUCUCUCCCUCUCAGGAUUUUUCAUAGAGGUGCACAGAGAGAAAUGAAAGAGAAAACAAUUUCUAUUUCUGCUCCUUGUUUUUCCCAUGUGGAAUGUGUUUGGAGAAUUGUUUACCUGGGGUGAGUGCUUGGUUGGAUUCUGGUGAGGAUUGUUUGAGCUGAUGGCCAAUCCAACCCACCUGGGGCUGGACUCUGGAGAGCGGGUCAUGAGUUGGGUUAGAGUCAGAGAAAGUAGUAUGUCGUUUUAGUAUCCUCCUUUUAUAUAGUAUAUUAAUGUAUUUUACCAUAGUCAUAAUAAAG
rnacentral:lncRNA from 1 species